UACAGAGGGUGCGAGCGUUAAUCGGAAUUACUGGGCGUAAAGCGUGCGCAGGCGGCUUUGCAAGACAGAUGUGAAAUCCCCGGGCUUAACCUGGGAACUGCAUUUGUGACUGCAUGGCUGGAGUGCGGCAGAGGGGGAUGGAAUUCCGCGUGUAGCAGUGAAAUGCGUAGAUAUGCGGAGGAACACCGAUGGCGAAGGCAAUCCCCUGGGCCUGCACUGACGCUCAUGCACGAAAGCAUGGGGAGCGAACAGG
rnacentral:rRNA from 1 species